rnacentral:rRNA from 1 species
GUAGGGUGCGAGCGUUGUCCGGAAUUACUGGGCGUAAAGGGCUCGUAGGUGGUUUGUCGCGUCGUCUGUGAAAUUCCGGGGCUUAACUCCGGGCGUGCAGGCGAUACGGGCAUAACUUGAGUACUGUAGGGGUAACUGGAAUUCCUGGUGUAGCGGUGAAAUGCGCAGAUAUCAGGAGGAACACCGAUGGCGAAGGCAGGUUACUGGGCAGUUACUGACGCUGAGGAGUGAAAGCAUGGGUAGCGAACAGGAUUAGAUACCCUGGUAGUCCAUGCCGUAAACGGUGGGCGGCUAGGUGUGAGGGUCUUUUCACGACUUUCGUGCCGUAGCUAACGCAUUAAGCGCCCCGCCCUGGGGAGGUACGGCCGGCAAGGCUA